CUCAUCCAGAAUGAGGAUUUUGGCUUUCCGAAGAAGUGCUCUGGCCAGACAAACCAGCUGUUUCUGACCAGUGCUGCAAAUUUCUACCUGUCAGCAACUGCUCCGGGGAAGCAUAUUCGCUGAUUCUCAUCCACUAGGAAAUUGCUCUUCAAAAUAAACCUCUCCUGGUCCUUGUAAGCACGGAUCACGCUACUCCCUUGGAAGGUUUCUGAAAUGUGGGAGUAGAUGGGUGACCUGCUGACUGCCUCUAUGCGUCUCAGCUGGCAGGAGGUGACAACGUAGAAGUGCUGGUACAAAGAGAAAUGGAAGGGGAAGUGAUUAGAAGGCUUAUGCCUCCAUGGAGGUGCUCCACAGAAAAUUUGGGAAGGCUUCAACAAGUGCAAUAGUACAUACUAUACUAGUGUUAUAAAACCUAAUGUGCAGGUAGGAGAUGCCCUUAAAAGGUGUGGUAGUGAUUCUGCCUGUGUUAUGUCCUAUCUUCAUUAAGAAUAACCCUGUGGUUAGUUAAUGCAGAGAAGCCAGGGUACUCUGAACUCGCAAAGCCUCUAUGCUCACACUGACUUUCUCCUGCAGGCCAGCCCUUUGCUUGAUGGAGAACAGAGGCAUACUUGCACCCUUACUUGCCCUUCCCUCAGUCUUAGCUGGUAAAGCAUUUCAGAGCCCAGUUGGAGAGCUGCAUGGCAUACAUGGAUAUAUUAAAAAGCAGUGUAGGAAUUCUUGAGGAAAGGUAAAAUGCUUUUUGUCCUCAUAUGAUUGCAUUUCCACUAAUGGAGACAAGAAAUAUAGGUAGGGUCUGAUCUGGGUAUCAGAGAAGCACAAGCCUCUUUGUGAGAUCUCUGGGAUGCUUUGGAAGGCUGAGGUGAUGCAGGAAGAGCCAUGGACAUUGCUCUUCUUCAGAUGCAAUUUGAGAUGAUGAAACUAGUUUCUGCAUGUCACUGCUCCUAAGAAAUGGAAGGAGGUGUUCUGCAGGGACAUGGCUAUGCUGCUUCAGCCUCUCCUGUCUGUCUAUCUCUCCGAGUUCCUACCUGGAAUGCAGCAUAAAGAACAGUCAAGGGCACUAUGGCCAUUGCUGCCCUUGGUGUAGCCACUAUAAUCACAAUGUAGAUCUUCAGCAAGUUGAACAAGAAUCCCAGCAAGGACUUCAGCUUGUCAGGGAUGACAGAAUCGAUAGCAUCCAUUUCUUUGGAGAAGCGGUUCAGCAAGUUUCCAAUGGGUGUUUGCUCAAAGAAGACCAUUGGGGAUCUAGCAACGUUCCUCAGCAACUGCAGAAAGAGCUUCUGCGACGCUAACACGCCACCUAGAAGGACUGCUGCUGUGGAGGCAAAUCUGCCAAGGGCUGCAAUACCAAAAAUAAUCAUUAUUACUAGCUGUCCUGGUUUUGGCUGGGAUAGAAUUAAACCACAGCACUAGGUCUGAACAAACUCACCUUGGAGCUCUGCUUUGCAAUAUCACAAUUUUCACUUAGUACUGUGAAUAACGUACUAGUGAAAGGAGCUGACUUUCUCUUUGAUAAUAAUUAAGCCAAGCCUCAGAGC